UACGUAGGGUGCAAGCGUUGUCCGGAAUUAUUGGGCGUAAAGAGCUCGUAGGCGGUUCGUCGCGUCGGCUGUGAAAUCCCGGAGCUCAACUCCGGGUCUGCAGUCGAUACGGGCGGACUUGAGUACUGCAGGGGAGACUGGAAUUCCUGGUGUAGCGGUGAAAUGCGCAGAUAUCAGGAGGAACACCGAUGGCGAAGGCAGGUCUCUGGGCCACUACUGACGCUGAGAAGCGAAAGCGUGGGGAGCGAACAGG
rnacentral:rRNA from 1 species